UAAUACGAAGGGGGGCUAGCGUUGUUCGGAAUUACUGGGCGUAAAGCGCACGCAGGCGGUUUGUUAAGUCAGAUGUGAAAUCCCCGGGCUCAACCUGGGAACUGCAUUUGAAACUGGCAAGCUAGAGUCUCGUAGAGGGGGGGUAGAAUUCCAGGUGUAGCGGUGAAAUGCGUAGAGAUCUGGAGGAAUACCGGUGGCGAAGGCGGCCCCCUGGACGAAGACUGACGCUCAGGUGCGAAAGCGUGGGGAGCAAACAGGAUUAGAUACCCUGGUAGUCCACGCUGUAAACGAUGUCGAUUUGGAGGUUGUGCCCUUGAGGCGUGGCUUCCGGAGCUAACGCGUUAAAUCGACCGCCUGGGGAGUACGGCCGCAAGGUUA
rnacentral:rRNA from 1 species